AGAGUUUGAUCCUGGCUCAGGAUGAACGCUAGCGGCAGGCUUAAUACAUGCAAGUCGAGGGGCAGCACGAAUAGCAAUAUUUGGUGGCGACCGGCAAACGGGUGCGGAACACGUACAGAACCUUCCUUCGAGUGGGGAAUAGCCCGAAGAAAUUCGGAUUAAUACCCCAUAGUAUUAUGAAGUGGCAUCACUUUAUAAUUAAAGAUUUAUUGCUUGAAGAUGGCUGUGCGCCUGAUUAGGUAGUUGGCGGGGUAACGGCCCACCAAGCCUUCGAUCAGUAACUGGUGUGAGAGCACGACCAGUCACACGGGCACUGAGACACGGGCCCGACUCCUACGGAAGGCAGCAGUAAGGAAUAUUGGUCAAUGGACGCAAGUCUGAACCAGCCAUGCCGCGUGGAGGAUGAAGGUCCUCUGGAUUGUAAACUUCUUUUAUUUGGGAAGAAAUGUGAUUAUUCUUUUUCACUUGACGGUACCAGAUGAAUAAGCACCGGCUAACUCCGUGCCAGCAGCCGCGGUAAUACGGAGGGUGCAAGCGUUAUCCGGAUUUACUGGGUUUAAAGGGUGCGCAGGCGGAUAUGUAAGUCAGUGGUGAAAUCUCCGGGCUUAACCCGGAAACUGCCGUUGAUACUAUAUAUCUUGAAUGCUGUGGAGGUAAGCAGAAUAUGUCAUGUAGCGGUGAAAUGCUUAGAUAUGACAUAGAAUACCUAUUGCGAAGGCAGCUUACUACGCAGAUAUUGACGCUCAUGCACGAAAGCGUGGGGAUCAAACAGGAUUAGAUACCCUAGUAGUCC
rnacentral:rRNA from 1 species